UACGUAGGGGGCAAACGUUGUCCGGAUUCAUUGGGCGUAAAGAGCGUGUAGGCGGCCAGGUAGGUCGGUUGUGAAAACUGGAGGCUCAACCUUCAGAGGUCGACCGAAACCAUCUGGCUAGAGUCCGGGAGAGGAGAGUGGAAUUCCUGGUGUAGCGGUGAAAUGCGCAGAUAUCAGGAAGAACACCCGUGGCGAAAGCGGCUCUCUGGAACGGUACUGACGCUGAGACGCGAAAGCAUGGGGAGCGAACAGG
rnacentral:rRNA from 1 species